UCCCAGCACCACAGCAGAUAGAUCAUAAACCUGCAACUCUGAUCCAAGAGGACCCCACAUUCUCUUCUGGCUUCCAAAGGUACCUGCACCCACAUGGCAGACCCUUCCAUAGACGUAGCUCUCUCUGAUAAACACCGCAGUUUGCCUGAGCACAGAGCCAGAAUAAUAUUAAUAAUAUUGAGGGUUUGUAUGGCCACACAUAUAAUUACUAUAGUGAGAGCCCAAAGCAAAAAGAAGAUAUGGCUCGUGAGCCAAAGGGGGCAGAAGGGACAGAUGUGACUUUCACCCAGCUGGGAGAAGUCACAGGGCACUGGGGGAAAGGGAUUAUAAAGAGAAGGUGCUUCUCCAUCCUAAAAAGUCAGAGGUGGGAAACGGAAAUGAAUGCAGCCCCAGCUGGCUGUUAGUAGGAGGUGUGCCUCUGACGUGGAGGGAGGAAGGGCCGUUCAGCUCUGCUUCUGCCUUCUUGGCAGAAACCUCCCGCACCGGGCUGUACUGACCACUCUGUUCUGCCUCCUUCUCUCCUCCAGGAAAACACCCACUUUUCCAGGAAUUCACAGUGACGCCUAUGCCACACAAAGUUAUUCUUAGAAACUGACUUGAUGAAAUAUUCAGAACUGUAAACAACAUGCACGCGCUUUAGGUCCCAAGUAUGCUUGCGCGGCGUCCCAGUUGGCUGCAAAGUAGAUCCCCGGGGAAAGAAAGGGUGUUCUUCGAUAAAAGUCUGGACUGUACCUGCCAGAGAAUGUUCAAAACAGGAAGCAGCGCCGGCUCUGAGAGUCAGGCACAGCCGCCGAGCUGAAGCAGGACAGUAUCCCCAAGGACCCAUCAGGGCGUGCUGGGCUGUGGCCGCUGCUGUUUAUUUGUCCUUGGUCGGUGAGGCAAUAACUCCAGGCCUGCUUCACGGAGAUUGCAGAAGUGGAGUAACAGGUCAGGUGGCCUGAGACCAACAUGCCAACAACUGUCUCAGGACGAAACGUGCCCAACAGCAGAUCUGUCAUGAAACCUCUCAAGGCACACGCCCAUAGCCGGAUCGCCACAUAGUGGUCUUGAUGUGGAGAAAUCCGGAGGAGACUAUCUUAAGAGAGAAAGGGCUUUCACUGGGAGGAAAGGAGCUCUUGUAUCCCAAGCUGGCCAUGAAUUCACAACGUAGUGGAGGAUGACCGUGAACUUCUGACGCUCUGACCUCUACCUCCUGGGAUUAGAGGUAGCUCAUUAUUGAACAUCUUCCAUUGUCUGGAUGGAACAGAAUGCACUUCUCCGCCUACUGAAGGAUACCUCAGUGCUUCCAAGCUUUGGCUGUUACCACCAAGGCGUCUAUGAACACGGGUGUACAGGUUCUGAGGAUACAGCCUCUAGUCUUCUUCACCCGACCCUCCUCUGAGCUCUCCCACAUCUGUGCUGCUCUGUUACCACCCAGUCUUGCCCAGUCUCCUGCCAGGACUCUCCCUGCCCAGGCCACAGGCUGGCCUUUUGCCCCAGACGCAGCAAACUGAGAAGAUGUUGGACCACUCAUCCUGCUUCCUCCUGGGAAAAUCUGAGCCCUGAUCUCUCCAGGUGGCCAUUGGUUGACUCACUGGCACCCCCUGCUGUCGGAGAUGUAGAAACCUGAAAAUGAUACAAGAAGAAAGUGCCAAAACCUGGAAGCUGUGUGCAAAAAUGUCCAUAGCAUUUUAUUCAGAGCAGACACAAAUUAGAAUAUUUCCCAGUGUCCCUCUACAGGAAGGCAGGCACACAACGGUAACUUCACAGUGCAUCACAGCAUCAAAACGUGUGGUGGGCAAAGCUUCUCAUCACAAGGGGGUCGGGAAGGAAAGGCAGAGCUGAGAGAUCUAGAACAAUACAAAUACUUCUUUUAAA
rnacentral:sRNA from 1 species